rnacentral:lncRNA from 1 species
GAGAGAAAUCAUGUGAGCUUGAGAAGGAAUCAGAUUCUGCAUAUAUUUCCAAGUUAACAUGAACAAGAUUUUCUGAAAGACUGCUAUGGAGUCUGAGAAAAAAUGUCAAAGGUAGUGCCAAAAUUGUCACUUAAAGAACUGCAGGAAUGGAGUUGGCAUUUACAGAAUUUGGAAGAGAAGCAGGUUUAGUGAUAAAGACCAGAAGCACAGAGCUAAGCAUAUUAAAUAUUGAGGACAUGAAGAGGAAAGAACUGACAGAGGAGGUGAAGAAAGGUGAUCAGGAAGAGCCAUCAAAGUGUUAUCCUGGAAUUCAAGUGAAGACAGUGUUUCAAAGUGGAAAUGAACAGUGUCCUGUAACCCUCAGAGUGAGACUAGAGUCAGAAUGCAGGCUUUUCUCAUUUGAAAUCUAUUGAAUAAACAUCAGUAAAAGAAGCAAUCCAAGUUCUCAUGCCAAAUAUGUAUAUGUCCAAGACCAGGAUUUCUUCAUGUCUGAAUGUGGAUAUGGAGCCUAGAGUACUAGCAAGGUAAGUCCAGGUCCUUACCUCCACCUAAAAGUUCUGCCAUCAAGGAACAUCUGCUCAUUAUCUUCUGUUCACACAUCAAAUGACUUCAAUGUGAUCCCUGGAUGUUCUCCAAAGAGCUGAAGGGAAAUAAAUA